AAAGAAAAUGCUGAAAAAUGCAGGAGCUCAUCUGAUCUCUCUCUCUCUCUCUCUCUCUCCAACUGGCCUCUACCAACACUUCAAUACACACCGUAAGGGUGUGUGUGACAGUGAGCAGAGCAUGUGUGUGUUUGAGAUCAUAUUGACUCUUCAACAACAUAAUCCAGGACAGAAGACCCUUCCUGACAGACAAGAGGUUUGAGAUCUGGUGAAACAACAUCAGGUCUUAGUUCAGGAAGAGAAGGCUGAAUCCAGGACAGAAGAUCCUUCCUGACAGACAAGAGGUUUGAUAUCUGGUGAAGAUAAUGUUGUAUAAUAACUCUUUGAUGUGGAACAUAAACUGAUGGAACAUUUUAAUACAAAAGACACACAACAAACUGGUUGUUCCAGCUGGAACAGUCCGAUCAUGUAUAAACUACAGUCAACAGACUCAUCAAAGAGAUUCUCUGCUACUUGUUGUGUACUUUUUAGCCAGUAGUGCUGAUAGUAACACUCACAAGUCAAAAGUGGUCCCUGAAAAUGUUGUACUACAUCACAUAUGUUCACCACGUCAUCUCUCUCUCUCUGCUGUGGCCCGCCCUGCAACCUCAUUGGAUAACCCUGGGCUGGCUUCUUGCUAGCUGUCACUCAAAUAUAAGUGGCUGAAGCUCAUGAGAUAGAACUCUAAUUGCCAGGGAAAUGGAGGGGAAAUGGUGCGGCACAGUUUCAACAAAUUGUCGCUUUCCAACUUGGGAUUUUUGUGGCUUUUUGAGGUAAGACAGUGAUUAUGCAUGAAUUACCUACAUAUUGAAACAUCCAGCCCAAAGUGUGAGGUUGAAAACCUCAAUUACAUAAUUACCUACCUACUAACCGCACAUUGACUCUGUACCACUACCACCUGUAUACAGCCUCCACAUUGACUCUGUACCGGUAACCCCUGUAUAUAGCCUCCACAUUGA